CUUCUACUCCCUCCGUUCCGAAUUACUUGUCGCAGGUAUGGAUGUAUCUAGAUGUAUUUUAGUUCUAGAUACAUCCAUCGAGUAAUUUGGAACGGUGGGAGUAGUAA
rnacentral:pre_miRNA from 1 species